UACGGAGGGAGCUAGCGUUGUUCGGAUAUACUGGGCGUAAAGCGCACGUAGGCGGCGCCGUAAGUCAGGGGUGAAAUCCCGGAGCUCAACUCCGGAACUGCCUUUGAUACUGGUAGUCUCGAGUCCGGAAGAGGUGAGUGGAAUUCCGAGUGUAGAGGUGAAAUUCGUAGAUAUUCGGAGGAACACCAGUGGCGAAGGCGGCUCACUGGUCCGGUACUGACGCUGAGGUGCGAAAGCGUGGGGAGCAAACAGG
rnacentral:rRNA from 1 species